GCGCGCUACCCUUCCGUAAAUUGGGACAGUGGUGUAACUGUAACGAACAGUUGGUAAUGGCUCAACUAAAACUUCGCCGCAUUCUUCAUGGGUUUUUACCAAUUUAGCAUUCAAAUAGCUGUCGCUUUCGUUUUUUUCUUUUGAAUCGUUUCACAUUUUUUGUACUCUUAACUCUAUAUAGCUUGCUGCAAAAAUAAUAAUUGAGGGGGUCCUGAUCCCGAAAUCCCGGGCUUAAAAACAUGACAUCCCGAGGUCCCAAAUUAAAAUAAAUUUAAAUCCCGACAUUCAAAAAUUCAAAAAAGAAUUCCCGGAUCCGGAAAAGGUCAAUCCCG
rnacentral:lncRNA from 1 species